UCCAGACUCCUACGGGAGGCAGCAGUGGGGAAUAUUGCACAAUGGGGGGAACCCUGAUGCAGCGACGCCGCGUGAGUGAAGAAGUAUUUCGGUAUGUAAAGCUCUGUCAGCAGGGAAGAAGAAAGACGGUACCUGACCAAGAAGCCCCGGCUAACUACGUGCCAGCAGCCGCGGUAAUACGUAGGGGGCAAGCGUUAUCCGGAUUUAUUGGGUUUAAAGGGUGCGUAGGCGGAAUGCCAAGUCAGCGGUAAAAUCGCGGGGCUCAACCUCGCUCCGCCGUUGAAACUGGCGUUCUUGAGUGGGCGAGAAGUAUGCGGAAUGCGUGGUGUAGCGGUGAAAUGCAUAGAUAUCACGCAGAACUCCGAUUGCGAAGGCAGCAUGCCGGCGCCCAACUGACACUGAAGCACGAAAGCGUGGGUAUCGAACAGGAUUAGAUACCCCCGUAC
rnacentral:rRNA from 1 species